rnacentral:sRNA from 1 species
AAGUUUCAGGCUGGCUCCUCAGGGCGCCACAGCACACGAAACCGCGUUGGUUCUUACACUUCAUCAUGCGCGCCAUCGAUUAAAAGAGGCUGCCAAUCGAUGAUAUGUACUUUCAGGUCGGUUUCGUGUGCUGCAUUGUUGACGCAUUCAUCUAUUGGUAUCGCAUGAACCCCAUCGUAAUAAAUCGGCUUCAGCGGAAGCUGGGCUACACUUUUCAUC